rnacentral:rRNA from 1 species
GACGAACGCUGGCGGCGUGCCUAAUACAUGCAAGUUGAGCGAUGAAGCUUGGUGCUUGCUCCACUUUGAAGAGCAGCGAACGGGUGAGUAACGCGUGGGGAAUCUGCCUUUGAGCGUGGGACAACUUUUGGAAACGAAUGCUAAUACCGCAUAAUAACUUUAAACAUAUGUUUUAAGUUUGAAAGAUGCAAUUGCAUCACUCAAUGAUGAUAUCGCGUUGUAUUAGCUAGUUGGUGAGGUAAAGGCUCUCCAAGGCGAUGAUACAUAGCCGACCUGAGAGGGGGAUCGGCCACAAUGGGACUGGGGCACGGCCCAAACUCCUACGGGAGGCAGCAGUAAGGAAUCUUCGGCAAAGGACGAAAGGCUGACCGAGCAACGCCGCGGGAGGGAAGAAGGUUUUCGGAUCGUAAAACUCUGUUGGUAGGGAAGGACGUAAGGUGGAAUGGAAUGCGCAUCAAUUGACGGUAACUACCCAGAAAGGGACGGCUAACUACGUG